rnacentral:rRNA from 1 species
AUUCGAUUCGUUUCGUUUUCCCGGAUUAUUUGUAUUCAAAUCCCACUCUUUAUAAAUAUAUUAAUUAUAUAAAACAAAAUAAAAAAAGAAAACUUUCAACAACGGAUCUCUUGGCUCUCGCAUCGAUGAAGAACGCAGCGAAAUGCGAUACGUAGUGUGAAUUGCAGAAUUCCGUGAAUCAUCGAAUCUUUGAACGCAAAUUGCGCCCCUUGGUAUUCCAUGGGGCAUGCCUGUUCGAGCGUCAUUUGUACCUUCAAGCUCUGCUUGGUGUUGGGUGUUUGUCCCGCCUUUGUGCGCGGACUCGCCUUAAAGCAAUUGGCAGCCGGCGUAUAGAUUUCGGAGCGCAGCACAAUCCGCGCUUUGUACUCAUUACGACGACAUCCAUCAAGACAUUUUUUAACUCUUGACCUCGGAUCAGGUAGGGAUACCCGCUGAACUUAAGCAUAUCAAUAAGGCGGAGGAA